GAUGAACGCUAGCGGCAGGCUUAAUACAUGCAAGUCGAGGGGCAGCACGGGUAGCAAUACUUGGUGGCGACCGGCGCACGGGUGCGUAACACGUAUACAAUCUACCUAUAACAGGGGGAUAGCCUUUCGAAAGAGAGAUUAAUACCCCGUAACACACGAAACGGCAUCGUUUUUUGUUGAAAGUUCCGACGGUUAUAGAUGAGUAUGCGUCUGAUUAGCUAGUUGGUAGUGUAAUGGACUACCAAGGCGACGAUCAGUAGGGGAUCUGAGAGGACUACCCCCCACACUGGUACUGAGACCCGGACCAGACUCCUACGGGAGGCAGCAGUAAGGAAUAUUGGACAAUGGUGGCAACACUGAUCCAGCCAUGCCGCGUGCAGGAAGACGGCCCUAUGGGUUGUAAACUGCUUUUGUACCAGAGAAAACCUAUCUACGUGUAGAUAGCUGAUAGUAUGGUAAGAAUAAGCAUCGGCUAACUUCGUGCCAGCAGCCGCCGUAAAAC
rnacentral:rRNA from 1 species